rnacentral:RNase_P_RNA from 1 species
GGAGUGGUCCAGGGCGAUCGCGGCGGCGAUACGCCGUCGAGGAAAGUCCGGGCUGCACAGAGCGAGGAUGCCGGGUAACACCCGGUGGGGGCGACCCCGAGGAGAGUGCCACAGAGAGGAGACCGCCGGACCCGGCGCACCCCGCGUCCGGUAAGGGUGAAACGGUGCGGUAAGAGCGCACCGCCCCGCACGGUAACGGGCGGGGGCACGGCAAACCCCAUCCGCAGCAAGGCCGAAUAGGGAAGCAGAUGGCGUUGCUCGCGCCGGCUUCCGGGUUGGCCGCUAGAGCCGGCGGGCAACCGUCGGCCCAGAUGAAUGAUCGCCUCCCGCCGCUGCGGCGGCGGAAGACAGAACCCGGCUUACCGGGCCACUCCGCCC